AUAAAAGGCAACUAGCCAGAGAUGGGAAGCCUACAGUUUCUACCAAGAGGGGCUUUAUCAGAAAACUGAGAGCAAGCGGGGGCAACCUGCUGUCCGCCCCCCGCCCAGGACUCCAGCCCCCGCGGAGGCUGCGGAGGCUGCGACCUCAGGUGAGCGGCCCCGGAAGGGGAGCUGGAGGCCGGUCUCAGGGCCCCCAGGCCUGCCUCUGGCCCUUCCCUGGGAGUGCUUUGACCCGGGCCGCCCUUCCGCUUGGUCUUGUCCUGCGAAAAACACCUGCUGCCGCGGAUCAAGUACACCUGACACCAGAUGUAGUCAAAAGAAAAAGGAAAAGAAAAGAGAAAACCCCACCCUCCUUAAUUCCGUUUGGUAAGAGCCCCGGCUGCCAGAUCCAUUACAUAAUGUCAGCUCAAGCUGACACCUGUGUGGGUGCGGAGCUGGAUCGGGUUCUGGCGGCGCAUCGGGCCUGGGACGCUGGCUCGGCAGCGCUCGGGCCAAAGGCCAAGGGGAAGAGGAACGAAUUUCGGGCUGGAGGGAGGCGCCUCGGCCCGCAGAGGAAGAAUAAAAACUAAGGAAGACGCUGAUUUUGCUAACAAGAGGGAAGCAGAACAAACGGUGCGUCGAGCAGUCCAGAUGCCUUUGUUUCGCACUCCUCAAGCCGCCAAGAAGACAACCACCACCAGGAUGCGAGUAACCAUAACUCCAAAGAGCCCCCUCGCCUAUUAGAAAGAAAGAGGAGGGCCGGCAGGGUGCGCCGACCUGGCCUGGUGUCCCCCCAUGCCCGUCACCUGUCCGCGAGCUAAAGGGGCGCGCAAGUUUUGGGAGACCUCGCCCCAGCGCCCUGUGAGCCCAGAGCAAACCCUGGGCCAUCGUCAUGUAGACCAAACGCUCAUUUUGUAGAAGAAACACGACUCUGCGUUUUAUGUGCCCCCCCCCCCCCCCCACCGCCCCAGCACACCUCAGCAGAACCCAGAGGCUGGAGAGGCCCCAGGAAAAUCCCACCACCCGCCACUUCGGGGCUCGGGGUUCCGCCGUCUGACGGUGACGGAGGGGACCUUGUGGACCAGACGGGUCGCCCGGGGCCCGCCCUGGGGGCACCUCCGGAUUCCUUAGGCUCCCUUCCCCGGGGCGGCGUGGGCCGGAGCUCGGGGUCGGAGCCGCCCGCAGCGGGAGCGAGGGGGGGACCCGUCGCCGGGUGUCGCCUCGCGGGCGCGGGCCCUCCUCCCUCGGUGC
rnacentral:lncRNA from 1 species